UCCACACUGGGACUGAGACACGGCCCAGACUCCUACGGGAGGCAGCAGUAGGGAAUCUUCCGCAAUGGACGAAAGUCUGACGGAGCAACGCCGCGUGAGUGAUGAAGGUUUUCGGAUCGUAAAGCUCUGUUGUUAGGGAAGAACAAGUGCCGUUCAAAUAGGGCGGCACCUUGACGGUACCUAACCAGAAAGCCACGGCUAACUACGUGCCAGCAGCCGCGGUAAUACAA
rnacentral:rRNA from 1 species